AGAUUUGCACAGUGGCAGUAUCAUAGCUAGUGAGGUUUAUUUGAGGUGGGAUUAUUGCUAAUUGAAAAUUUUUUCAAUACCCCGCCAUGACGACUGGAAAUAUAGUAGGCAUUGGUAAUUUUUGGAAGUCUCUACAGGGA